CAAGGAGUAGUUUAAGUAGAAUUUCAGCUUUGGGUGCUGACGGUAGGGCUUAAGCUCUUUCCUUGA
rnacentral:tRNA from 1 species